GACGAACGCUGGCGGCGUGCCUAAUACACGCAAGUAGAACGCUGAAGAGAGGAGCUUGCUCUUCUUGGAUGAGUUGCGAACGGGUGAGUAACGCGUAGGUAACCUGCCUUGUAGCGGGGGAUAACUAUUGGAAACGAUAGCUAAUACCGCAUAACAAUGGAUGACACAUGUCAUUUAUUUGAAAGGGGCAAUUGCUCCACUACAAGAUGGACCUGCGUUGUAUUAGCUAGUAGGUGAGGUAAUGGCUCACCUAGGCGACGAUACAUAGCCGACCUGAGAGGGUGAUCGGCCACACUGGGACUGAGACACGGCCCAGACUCCUACGGGAGGCAGCAGUAGGGAAUCUUCGGCAAUGGGGGCAACCCUGACCGAGCAACGCUGCGUGAGUGAAGAAGGGUUUCGGAUCGUAAAGCUCUGUUGUAAGUCAAGAACGGGUGUGAGAGUGGAAAGUUCACACUGUGACGGUAGCUUACCAGAAAGGGACGGCUAACUACGUG
rnacentral:rRNA from 1 species